GGGGGCAUAUUUCAACGGUAGAAUUCUGGUCUCCAAAACCAGCGAUCAAGGUUCAAGUCCUUGUGCCCCCG
rnacentral:tRNA from 1 species